AUGGAGCCCGUGGGAGCGCCGCGAGACAAGCCAGCGGCCGCGGCGAGGGGCUACUGGCGGUGGCGCAAGGACGACUUCUUCCCGGAGCCGUCGUUCGCGAGCUGGGGCGCGUACCGGGGCGCGCUGGCCGCGACGCCCGCGCGGCUCCGGGACCGCCUCCUCGCCGGCCGCUCCACCGACGCCGCGGAGCUCGGCGCGAUGCGGCGCCGGAGCGAGAACGAGAUGCGCCGCUGCCUCACCUGGUGGGACCUCACGUGGCUCGGCUUUGGCUGCCACCUCGGCGCCGGCAUCUUCGUGCUCACCGGCCAGGAGGCCCGCGACCACGCGGGGCCCGCCGUCGUGCUCUCCUACGUCGUGGCCGGCCUCUCCGCGAUGCUCUCCGUGCUCAUCUACGCCGAGUUCGCCGUCGAGAUCCCCGUGGCCGGCGGCUCCUUCGCGUACCUCCGCGUCGAGCUGGGCGACCUCGCGGCGUUCGUCGCCGCCGCCAACCUCAUCCUCGAGACCGUCAUCGGCACGGCCGCCGUGGCGCGCGCCUGGACGUCCUACCUCGCGUCGCUCGUCAACAGGCCGGUGAGCGCGCUCCGCGUGCACGUGCCGUCGUUCGGCGAAGGGUACGACGAGCUCGACCCCAUCGCGUCGGCGGUGAUCUUGGCCACGGCGAUCAUGGCCAUGCUGAGCACCAAGGGCAGCUCCCGCUUCAACUGGGUGGCGUCAACGGUGCACCUGCUCGUGCUAGCGUUCAUCAUCGUGGCCGGGUUCGUCCACGCGAAGCCGUGCAACCUGACCCCGUUCGUGCCCUACGGCGUGCCGGGCGUGUUCCGGUCGGCGGCGGUCGUGUACUUCGCGUACAGCGGCUUCGACAGCAUCGCCAACAUGGCGGAGGAGACCAAGAACCCGUCCAGGGACAUCCCGCUGGGUCUGAUCGGGUCCAUGUCGGUGAUCACGGCCAUCUACUGCACGAUGGCGCUGACUCUGACCAUGAUGCAGCCGUACACGGCGAUCGACCGGAGCGCGGCGUACUCGGUGGCGUUUGCCGCGGUGGGGAUGCGGUGGAUGCAGUACGUGGUGGCGGUGGGCGCGCUCAAGGGGAUGACGACGGUGCUGCUGGUCGGGGCGCUGGGGAACGCGCGGUACGCGACCCACAUCGCCCGGAGCCACAUCAUCCCGCCGGUGUUCGCGCUGGUGCACCCCAAGACCGGCACGCCCAUCCACGCCACGGCGCUCAUCACCGGCGCCAGCGCGUGCGUCGCGUUCUUGUCCAGCCUCGACGUGCUCGCCAGCCUCCUCUCCAUCAGCACGCUCUUCAUCUUCGUCAUGAUAGCCACCGCGCUCCUCGUCCGCCGGUACCACGCGAGGGGCGUGACGAGCCGGGCGCACGGGCGGCUGCUCGCGGCGCUCGUGCUGGCGAUCGUCGGGUCGUCGGCUGGCAUCGCGGCGUGCUGGGGCUCGGCGCCGGAGCGGUGGACAGGCUACGCCGUGCUGGUGCCGGUGUGGGCCGCGGCGACGCUCGGGGUCCAGCUGCUGCUGCCGGUGGCCCGCGUGCCCACGAAGUGGGGCGUGCCGCUCGUGCCGUGGCUGCCUUCGCUCUCCAUCGCCACCAACAUCUUCCUCAUGGGCUCCCUCGGCGCUUCGGCGUUCGUCCGCUUCGGCGUGUGCACCGCCGUCAUGUUGCUCUACUACGUGCUCGUCGGCCUGCACGCCACGUACGACGUCGCGCACGAGGAGGUGGACGACGCUGCGGCUGAUGAGAAGGCGGCGGCGGCCACCGACGUGGAGAAGUCUGGCGCCGGAGAUGCUGGGCGCUAA
rnacentral:rRNA from 1 species